rnacentral:rRNA from 1 species
UACAUGUGGGGCAAGCGUUGUUCGGAAUUAUUGGGCAUAAAGGGUGCGUAGGUGGCUUGUUAAGUCAGGGGUGAAAGUUUUCGGCCCAACCGGAAAAUGGCCUUUGAUACUGGCGAGCUCGAGUGCGUGAGGGGUAACCGGAACGAGCAGUGUAGCGGUGAAAUGCGUAGAUAUUGCUCGGAAGGCCAACGGCGAAGGCAGGUUACUGGUGCGCAACUGACACUGAGGCACGAAAGCGUGGGGAGCAAACAGG